rnacentral:lncRNA from 1 species
AAAAUUUUAAGUUUGAGAUUUAAAGUUUGAAAUAUUCAAAUUUGAAAUUUAAAAUUUAAAAUUUUAAAACUAAAAGUUAGAAUUUAAAAUCUAAAAUUUAAAAAUUUAAAUAUAAAUUUUAAGGUUUAAGAUUAAAAAUUAAAUUUAAAUUUUAAAUCUAGAAUAAAAAUAAAAAUUUAAAGUUUAAGUUCAAAAUCAGAAUCAGAUUUCAAGAAGUAGGUUUCAAGAAGUAGGUUUUGAAAUCCGAAUCAGAUUUUAAAGAGGAGGUUUCUCAAACGGUGUAUUAAGUCCAAAAUUAGUUAAUUUUCAAAAGUUAGGAGGCCAAACACCCACGGCGGCGUCUUGUAGCAGCAUUAAUUAAUUAAUUAAUUAAUUAAUCAGAUAGGAUGUAAAAAAGCAAAUGAUCACUAAAUUAGGACGUAGUACCAAUUUAAGGUAGUAAAUCAUUUUCAAAGCGGAACUAAGAGAUUCUUUUUCCAAACAAAAACCUGCUAAUCCAAGGACGACAAUAAUAGAUGGGAUGGGGCAUCAUCAAAGGUAGAGCAGUCUAGCUAGCUAGCAAUAUUGGUACUGCAUCCAAAUCCAUAUAUAUAUAUAUAUAUAUAUAUAUAUAUAUAUAUAGUUGAGCUGGAAUGCUAUCGAUAGCAAACUAGCCUCGUNUAUAUAUAUAUAUAUAUAUAUAUAUAUAUAUAUAUAUAUCACCCACCCAUCAGCCUCUUCCUUCCGAGGAAUUCUAUAUUGUCACACUUGCACCACGUCAUCAAUAACAAGCCAACCAUAUUUCUUUUUUUAAAUAAAAGUAUAAUAAAAAUAAUUUUUUAUAAUCAUGAUAGAACAUAUAUUUUUAAAAUGAGAUAUUUGAUUGGUUUGUUACGCCACAUAACCAAUAUACCUGUUGCAUUCUAGAAUUUUUCCUUCCUUCCACACCUAGCUAGCUAGAUCUCUUAAAAUGCUUGCCCCACCCCGCCCCGCUCGGCUGCCCAAAAGAGAAAAAAAUAAAAAAAUAAAAAAAAUAAUAGAAGAAAAAGAAAAAAACCACCCUCUCUUGAUCUCUUGAGAGUCUUUGGAUCUGGAUUCUAUAUGUUGGGACAAUUAUUAUGUACUAUAUAGCUAAUGAGAUAGAUUGACAUGCAUUCUGUGACGCCAUGAUCCAUUCCUUUCCUACUGAGUGGUCACAUUCUUGGUUUUGUUCUUAUUGGAACACUUGGUUGUAAAUAAAAUAACAUAUAUAUAUAUAUAUAUAUGGGCCAUAUGUACAAUUGUUAUUUUCAGUGGGAAUAAAAUUAAUUAUGUAGUAGAGAUUAUUUGAAAUGUACGUACCUCCUGUUUAACUAGUACAAGACAAUGUACGAGCUAGCUAGCUAGCUUUAGUAAAUGUUUUGAUUGAUUCAAGACAAGAAAUUAAUUAUAAUCAAAUAAGAAAAAAACAUUAAUUAAUGAAGUUAGAGCCUUGUCGGCCGCAAGCUCUGGACCUCCUUCCGUUAUACUAGUUUUAGAAUAAUAUAAAUUAAACAAUUGAUGUUUUUUUUAAAACCCUUUACAAAAAGGGAGAAAAUAUAUAGUAUCUUUUUAUGUUUUUAUAUGUAAUAGGUGUACAGAGAAUGCGGAAGUGACGAAUGCGAGAAAGAUUCAUUCAUGCGAGCAACUAUAUAUAUGUGUUUAAUUAUUUCAGUUCUUCAAAUAACAAAUAUUAUUAUUAAACUUGAUUAAAAUGUAUAUAUAUGUAUGGACAACACUGUACUAUAUGGAUAUUCUAUUAUUGUUUUCUUCAUAUUUUUCUAGGCCUUUUUUGCGAUUUUGUAAAAAUGGGUAACUUUUUUAUUUUUGUAGAUUUAAAUUUUUUUUUUUCAAACUAGCCAAAACAUUCCUAUUCUGCCUCUACUUGUUCCCUUUCUCCUACCACUUCCCAUCACUCUAGCUCCACCGUCUCUAGGUCGCUGCCAUGCUCCUCCCCUCUCUCACAACCCAUGAGUGCGAGGACGAUGACGAUGCUUAACUUGCUCGUGGUCAAUCGUGACUGUUUUAGGCGUUCUCCGGUGAGGUCACCGCGGUAGAAACAAAGGUGGCGCCGCUUGGAGUGUUGAAGGAGAUGGAGACAGGGGUGUUGAAGGUGGAGGACAAUGAACAUUGGUCGAGGAUACUCGUACAGAAGAUACGCGAGCGGGCUCAUGUGCGGCACCGACGAUGAUAACGUGAUAGCGGUAGUGAGAAAGGAAAAUAUGAGGAACGACGCAAUAUUGCACUAUUUGAAAAAAAAAAAAAAUUGCAUUACUUGAAUAUAUAUAUAUAUAUAUAUAUAUAUAUAUAUANAGAAUUUAAAAUCUAAAAUUUAAAAAUUUAAAUAUAAAUUUUAAGGUUUAAGAUUAAAAAUUAAAUUUAAAUUUUAAAUCUAGAAUAAAAAUAAAAAUUUAAAGUUUAAGUUCAAAAUCAGAAUCAGAUUUCAAGAAGUAGGUUUCAAGAAGUAGGUUUUGAAAUCCGAAUCAGAUUUUAAAGAGGAGGUU